UAAUUGUUAAUAGAAUUUCACAUUUAAAAAUAUUUUUUUACUUAGAUUUUAUAUAAUUUUUACUUAUAUUUUUAUAUGAUUAUAUUAAAGUUGAUUGAUUAUAAUAUGAUUGAUUAUGAUCAAAAUAAUAUGAUUGAUUAUCGUCAAAAUAUAGACCAAAUAAUUUAAUUAAUGAUGUAUCAAAUCUUAAAUUUUCAAUAUAUUUGGAUAGUAUUUAGUAAAUUAUAUUGAAAACCACAUUUGAAUUUAUAAAAUAUGAAAAUACAUACCAAAUAAUAUAGUGAAAUAAUAUAAAAGUCUAAUUUCCAAAAUUUAAUUAAUAUAUAUACACUAAAAUAAACUAUUUUCGUAUUUUAUAAGUAAAAAUAGAAAAACAAAUUUUAAAAAUUAAAAAGAAAACUUGUUAUAAACUAAUAACUGUAUAAAUCAAUAAAAUAUAUUAGUUUCAACAUUAUUAAUUAAUAGAGUUUUUAGUAUAUUUAAAAUUUAACCGCUUUAUUUGACAAAAACAAAACAAAACAUGCCAUUAAUAUCAGAAAGUAACAGAGGGAUUUGUUAGGAAACUCGGUGGCUUUCACAAUAAAGCUUAUGUGUCCUAUCGUCAAGCUUUCCAUAGUUUACAAAAGUCAAACCAAAAGCCUAAUACAACAAAAACACUUCAUUUACUAUGUGUCUAAAUAAUCCGACUUUAUUUAUUACAAAAUUAUAAAACUUAACUUAUCUAUUUUGAAGUGUUUUAUCAUAUCUUUUACAUUUAUUUCUCAUUUUUUUAACUAUUUCAUUAAUUAUUUUUACUAUUCACUUUGUUUCCGAAAUUAAGAUUUUCUAAAGUGUUGACGCUUAUUAAAAAUUCAAUAAAUAUUUAUAAUUUAAUUUUUAUUUUAUUUUAUUAUACACUUUCCAAUAACUUUUCACCAAUGAAUUUAAUCAAUUCAAAUAUUUUCAUUUAAUGUUUUUUAAAAGUAUAAAAAGUACCUUAAAUAUAUAGAAAAUCUAUCUUUGUGGAAUAAGUAAAAAAUCUAAAAUAUCUUACUUUCGGGAACAGAGGGAAUAUAAUAUUUUGACAACAUUUAUUUACAUAUUAACCAUAAUAAUUCGACAUGUUUGAAUAAAAUUGAUCAAUCUGUGAUAAAUUUUCAAAAUGGUUAACAAAGAGUUUUAUAUAUAUUCGGCUACACGUUCAGGUACGAGUUAUUUUUUUUGGACAUUAUUUUUUUUUUAAAUGAAGCUUCAUUCGGUUAUUAUAAAUUUUCGAGUAGAUUUUUCGUCGAAUCCUCCAAGUUCGUAUGAAUUCGGUUUUGAAGUAUAGAGACCAAAAAAUAUCCAAAAACUAAUGUAUCUAAAACAUAUUCGGAUAUUUUUACCAAAAGUAAGCAUACUAACAGAUUUGGUUCAUGUAUUUUGAAUCCAAACUAAAAAUAACUAAAUAACCAAAAGUAUAUAUUACCCAAUUUGAUCCAGAUUCAUUUAUGAUGUAUAUUAAUCUAAAAAAAUUCAGAUACUUAUGCGAUUAGUUAUAUGAUGUCACAUAUAAAAUAUAUAACAUCAAUCGUGAAAAGAAUUAUUAUUUUAUGAAAAAGUAAAAAUUAACACCUUCUUUCACGGUGACAAUAGCUUCCCUCGUACCUUCCCCAUCCCCAGGAGCAGCAGGACCAUCACGAUCAUCAGGAUAUCACACCACAACCGGAACCGCAACGACCCGUCUCGUAGCUCGUAUACUCAUUUUUUUUUAUCAUUGUGCUCCAUGAUUUUUUUUGGUUUGCCUGAUUGGAAAAACGUUUGAGAGGGAACUUGGUGCUUUUUGGUGGGUCUUAGACAGAGACAUUUGCGUCUCAGUAGUGGUCACUUGUGUCCAAUGUUAACACUUGGACGACUCGUUGCGUACGCCACGUGCAUGUGUCAUGGGGAUGGGGCCUUAUACUCGUGAUGAUACAAUUGCUACUUGUCACGUAUACCCUCUAAUGGCCUCGCAACUUAGCUAUCGUCUUUAGAUGCUUUGGCCUCAUCCACCACAAUAACUCUACUUUCGUUCUCUUCGGAUAAAUGUAAAAUUUUAUAUGCGUUCAAGACGCACCGAAUCUCUUCGACUAAUCUAAGAUAUGGCACUAAAUGCAAAAUCAGUGUAGGUCCAUACUCCACAGGUUUCUAAUGCCGACAGUGCGAAGAAAUAUGCCUUCCCAUUUUAAAUUGAACAAUAAAAAUACCGCACACAAAAAUAAAUAACGAAACAAGACUUGUGAGUAUCUUGACAAGAUUAUAAAAGAAAACAAAGUGGGAAAUAAAAAGAACUUCUCCUGCAUGUGUGAUAUUGACAUAAAUAAAAAAAGUAUCAAACAAAAAAGAUAAAGUCACUGUAGCCUUUCCCUUACGUGGGCUUUGGUAGGUAAAUCAAUUAAUUACGUUUAGCCUUUAAUGUGAUUGUAAAAAGAUUUCGUACGGUCCAACUUGAUAUCCAGGCAACCUAAAUACAUAGUCGAAAUAGAACGCAUUCAACUCUUACCACUUUUCUAAAGACAAAUCACCUAAGAGCACCAUUAUCGCGGGCUCUUAAAGCCCGUAUUCAAUGUUUUCAGAUUUAAAAGAAAAGAAAAAUUGGCUAAUUAAAGAAGAGACGUCGCUUAAUUAAGCCACACAAGAGACGGGUUUUGUGAACACGUGUCAUUAUCUCAUCCCUUUCUCUCUCUACCAAAGCAUUCUCUCUCUUUCUUUUGUGUCUCCUCGGCGACUCCGACUCCAUCUGCUGAUCUCUCCUCCACGAUGACCCAUCAGCGACGACUCUGACUCCAUCAACCGGCGACUCCGACGAUGACCUCUCCGCGACGACUCCGACGCCAUCAGCCGACUCAGAGACUCACUUCUCGUCAACCUCACGUUUUCCUCCGCCGCGUCUUCUUCGCACACAGAUUAAAACGAGGCUAGCAGCCGAUAAAAGAGAAAGAAGUUAAAGAGAAAAAGGAGAAGAACGUGAGAUGGAGAAAGGUGAACUAGAGAAGAAGGAAACAAAGGUGGAGAAGAAGUACACAGUUUGAGAUGGGGUUUCGAAAAAGAGAUCCGGAUCAGAUAUGAGUUUGGGAGAUCACAUAUGGAGUUUCUCUUAAUAGAGGACGUGGCAGGGAAGCCAUAGAAACUGACGUCUCUGUCAUUGGAGUAACGACUUCGUUGUGGUGUGCCUUGCUUCCUACGCAAGCAUCAGAAGUAGCAGCUCAAAUCUGGGAGGUUCAACUGUUCUGUUGCAGCAAAUUCAAGAGAGCGUGGGAGGUUCAUUUGUAUGCUGAUCUGACUGAAACUUUGUACAGAUGUAGGGGACACUGCAGACUCAGAAUUCAACGGUGUGAUCGAAAAGUGGACGGUUAGUUUAUUAGUUAUUCAUGUAUUUCUGAACAGGUUUGGUACAUUGUGAAACAGAGUGGUAUGUUGAUGGAUCGUCUUGUUUGGUUGGGAAAAUGAGCUCGGACUGAGCUCAUAUUUGGCAGGAACCUUAUGGACUCGUGGCUUAGAUCUGAUUGUUAGUUAGGAAUUCUAUGAUUAUAUGGUGAAGGUUGCAAAGUGUGUUACACUUAAUAAGGUUAACUUUACUUGCUAUCUCCUUGGAUUUGUUAUUAGUGAAAUUGUUAUAGGGAACAUUGUUUUGAAGAUGGUUAAGCUUUCUUAUUUGUUUGUCCA